rnacentral:misc_RNA from 1 species
AGCAGCCGCGGUAAUUCCAGCUCCAAUAGCGUAUAUUAAAGUUGUUGCAGUUAAAAAGCUCGUAGUUGAAUUUCGGGGUUAGUAGGUUGGUCAUGCCUCUGGUAUGUACUGGUCUCACUGAUUCCUCCUUCCUGAUGAACCUUAAUGCCAUUAAUUUGGUGUUUUGGGGAAUUUGGACUGUUACUUUGAAAAAAUUAGAGUGUUUAAAGCAAGCUAACGCUUGAAUACAUUAGCAUGGAAUAAUGAAAUAGGACGUUCGAUCCUAUUUUGUUGGUUUCUAGGAUUGACGUAAUGAUUAAUAGGGAUGGUUGGGGGCGAUUAGUAUUCAAUUGUCAGAGGUGAAAUUCUUGGAUUUAUUGAAGACUAACUACUGCGAAAGCAUUUGCCAAGGAUGUUUUCAUUAAUCAAGAACGAAAGUUAGGGGAUCGAAGACGAUCAGAUACCGUCGUAGUCUUAACCAUAAACUAUGCCGACUAGGGAUCGGAUGAUGUUAAUUUUUUAAUGACUCAUUCGGCGCCUU